UACCCCUCCUCCUCCUCAUACAUCCAUUUCCAUUCAUCUCUCUCUGCUUGCACUUCUCUCUCUAAAUUUCUCCUUUUUUAUUUUUAUGGGGGUGAGAGAAAAGAUUGCAGAUCAAAAAGCAAGACUGAAAUCUCCACAGCAAGGCAAUCUUAAAGAUGAGUUCAAGACUUGCCAUCCGCCCGCAAAACUGGAAAGCUGAUGAAAUCUGGGGCGUUGAAAGUUUGGGCCGCCAGAGAUUUGAAUUGGGUGCCGGCGCCGGCGCCGGGAGCUCCACCUUGACGGCGGUUCAUUUGUAUUAAUUGGGUGCUAUCCUACCUGAGCUUUUUCCUCAUCACCUUUUCUUAUUUGUUUUUUUUUUUGACUUGUUGCCUUUUAUUUUUUAUUCUCACCCAAUUUUCUUGACCUUGUAAGACCUUUUCUUGACCUUGUAAGACCCAUUGUUGUGUGUUUUCUUCUUGUAUUUUGUGGUCUGAAUAACGUUGUGUCCGAAAUUUUUUGGCACAAGGUUUUCUCAGCAUCUUCGUCCUCCCUCCCCAACUCGUCUUCUCCUUCCUUGUCUAUCCCUCCUGAGCUAUUAAACUAAUUAGAUUUGCACAUUUCACCGGCCUCCUCAAAAACAUAUAUCAUUAUAUUAUAUUGUGUUUCAAAUCCAUGCAUAAACACCGCUGAAUUGAAGAUCAGAUCAAUCUGGAGUAACUUCAAGAUCAUUGAAUGAAGAAGAAGAAGAAGAAUGAGCUGAUUAUUUGUAAUUCAUUAUAAAAUUUAGUAGAAGCUAAUUAAGCUAGAGUACAUACAUGUAUACAUACACGUACACAAGUACACUUUAUAAUGAUAUAUUGAUUGUGUAUGUUUAUGGAUGAUGGAUCGGAGUUGAAUUGAAGUUAGUUAUAUAUGGAUGACUGGAUGCAAUGCAAUUAUUUACAAAGCUU